ensembl:lncRNA
CCCGGUGCUCGUCGCUUUGCCGCCCGCCGCAGCAUCCUUCGGCUCGGCGUAGCCGGUUGUACCCGCGCGCUUGGCCUCUGCCUGCUGCGGAGGCUGGGCCCGUCCGCCCCGCAAAAAGCAAUGCGCCGUCUGACAGCAGCCCGUCUCGUAAAAAAACCCUCCUGGACUUGCUUAAAAUAUAGCCUGGUCCUGUUCACGCUCUUAAGAGACCUCUCAGGACGUGAAAGCAACAUUGUCAGAAUGUGUGAAGAGACUCAAACCUGUUUGCUGAAAGCAGUUCAUAAAGGGACGUUGCCAAGGUCCAUCCUGGAGGAGUCAGAGAGAAUGGGACCUUCUCCAGCCGGAAUCUGAGCCUGCCAUUAUAGUAAAAAUGAGAAUAGAUUGAAGGCUCAAUUGAAUGGCAAGUUAUAAUCUCUAUUUAUUGAUGGUAUUUGAGCAUCCUAAAGGGUGACUCUAUCUGAUAAGAC